rnacentral:rRNA from 1 species
AGUGGCGGACGGGUGAGUAACGCGUGGGUAACCUGCCUCAUACAGGGGGAUAACAGUUAGAAAUGACUGCUAAUACCGCAUAAGACCACAGCACCGCAUGGUGCAGGGGUAAAAACUCCGGUGGUAUGAGAUGGACCCGCGUCUGAUUAGGUAGUCGGUGGGGUAACGGCCUACCAAGCCGACGAUCAGUAGCCGACCUGAGAGGGUGACCGGCCACAUUGGGACUGAGACACGGCCCAA